rnacentral:rRNA from 1 species
UACAGAGGGUGCGAGCGUUGUCCGGAAUCACUGGGCGUAAAGGGCGCGUAGGCGGUCUGCUAAGCGUGUGGUGAAAGCUCGGGGCUCAACCCCGAGUCGGCCGUGCGAACUGGUGGACUGGAGCAUGUCAGAGGCAGGCGGAAUUCCGGGUGUAGCGGUGGAAUGCGUAGAGAUCCGGAAGAACACCGGUGGCGAAGGCGGCCUGCUGGGACAUUGCUGACGCUGAGGCGCGACAGCGUGGGGAGCAAACAGA